GAUGAACGCUGGCGGCGUGCUUAACACAUGCAAGUCGAACGGGAAACCUUUUAUUGAAGCUUCGGCAGAUUUAGCUGGUUUCUAGUGGCGGACGGGUGAGUAACGCGUGGGUAACCUGCCUUAUACAGGGGGAUAACAGUCAGAAAUGGCUGCUAAUACCGCAUAAGCGCACAGAGCUGCAUGGCUCAGUGUGAAAUACUCCGGUGGUAUAAGAUGGACCCGCGUUGGAUUAGCUGGUUGGUGGGGUAACGGCCCACCAAGGCGACGAUCCAUAGCCGGCCUGAGAGGGUGAACGGCCACAUUGGGACUGAGACACGGCCCAGACUCCUACGGGAGGCAGCAGUGGGGAAUAUUGCACAAUGGGGGAAACCCUGAUGCAGCGACGCCGCGUGAAGGAAGAAGUAUCUCGGUAUGUAAACUUCUAUCAGCAGGGAAGAUAAUGACGGUACCUGACUAAGAAGCCCCGGCUAACUACGUG
rnacentral:rRNA from 1 species